rnacentral:rRNA from 1 species
UACGUAGGGGGCAAGCGUUGUCCGGAUUUAUUGGGCGUAAAGAGCGUGUAGGCGGUUUGGUAGGUCCGUUGCGAAAACUCGAGGCUCAACCUCGAGACGCCGAUGGAAACCAUCAGACUAGAGUCCGGAAGAGGAGAGUGGAAUUCCUGGUGUAGCGGUGAAAUGCGCACAUAUCAGGAGGAACACCGGUGGCGAAGGCGGGUCUCUGGGCCGAUACUGACGCUGAGGAGCGAAAGCGUGGGGAGCGAACAGG